AGGAUUCGUCCAAUUGAAGCAGAGGACAGUGGCGGACGGGUGAGUAACGCGUGAGGAACCUGCCUUUCAGAGGGGGACAACAGUUGGAAACGACUGCUAAUACCGCAUGACGCAUGACCGGGGCAUCCCUGACAUGCCAAAGAUUUAUCGCUGAAAGAUGGCCACGCGUCCGAUUAGAUAGUUGGCGGGGUAACGGCCCACCAAGUCGACGAUCGGUAGCCGGACUGAGAGGUUGGCCGGCCACAUUGGGACUGAGACACGGCCCAAACUCC
rnacentral:rRNA from 1 species